UAGGGAAUCUUCCGCAAUGGACGAAAGUCUGACGGAGCAACGCCGCGUGAGUGAUGAAGGGUUUCGGCUCGUAAAACUCUGUUGUUAAGGAAGAACACUUUAGGUAGUAACUGGCCUUGAGAUGACGGUACUUAACCAGAAAGCCACGGCUAACUACGUGCCAGCAGCCGCGGUAAUACGUAGGUGGCAAGCGUUAUCCGGAAUUAUUGGGCGUAAAGCGCGCGUAGGCGGUAAAAUAAGUCUGAUGUGAAAGCCCCCGGCUCAACCGGGGAGGGUCAUUGGAAACUGUUUUACUUGAGUGCAGAAGAGGAGAGUGGAAUUCCAUGUGUAGCGGUGAAAUGCGCAGAGAUAUGGAGGAACACCAGUGGCGAGGGCGGCUCUCAGGUCUGUAGCUGACGCUGAGGUGCGAAAGCGUGGGGAUCAAACAGG
rnacentral:rRNA from 1 species